rnacentral:tRNA from 1 species
AAUGAUGUGCCUGAAAAAGGAUUAUUUUGAUAGAAUAGAACAUGCAAAUUAUGCCCUCAUUA